AACGUAGGUGGCGAGCGUUAUCCGGAUUUACUGGGCGUAAAGCGCACGUAGGCGGAUAUUUAAGUCAGGGGUGAAAUCCCGCAGCUCAACUGCGGAACUGCCUUUGAUACUGGGUAUCUUGAGUAUGGAAGAGGUAAGUGGAAUUCCGAGUGUAGAGGUGAAAUUCGUAGAUAUUCGGAGGAACACCAGUGGCGAAGGCGGCUUACUGGUCCAUUACUGACGCUGAGGUGCGAAAGCGUGGGGAGCAAACAGG
rnacentral:rRNA from 1 species